UGGGGAAUAUUGGACAAUGGUCGCAAGACUGAUCCAGCCAUGCCGCGUGCAGGAAGACGGCCCUAUGGGUUGUAAACUGCUUUUGUACCAGAGAAAACCUAUCUACGUGUAGAUAGCUGAUAGUAUGGUAAGAAUAAGCAUCGGCUAACUUCGUGCCAGCAGCCGCGGUAAGACGAAGGAUGCAAGCGUUAUCCGGAUUCAUUGGGUUUAAAGGGUGCGUAGGCGGGCUUGUAAGUCAGUGGUGAAAUCUCUCAGCUUAACUGAGAAACUGCCAUUGAUACUGCAGGCCUAGAGUAUAGAUGACGUUGGCGGAAUAUGACAUGUAGUGGUGAAAUACUUAGAUAUGUCAUAGAACACCGAUUGCGAAGGCAGCUAACGAAACUAUAACUGACGCUGAGGCACGAAAGUGCGGGGAUCAAACA
rnacentral:rRNA from 1 species